rnacentral:rRNA from 1 species
CCUACGGGAGGCAGCAGUGAGUAAUAUUGGUCAAUUGGCGCGAGCCUGAACCAGCCAAGUAGCGUGAAGGAUGACUGCCCUACGGGUUGUAAACUUCUUUUAUAAAGGAAUAACGUGAGGUACGUGUGCCUUUUUGCAUGUACCUUAUGAAUAAGGACCGGCUAAUUCCGUGCCAGCAGCCGCGUUAAUACGGAGGGUCCGAGCGUUAUCCGGAUUUAUUGGGUUUAAAGGGAGCGUAGGUGGGUUGUUAAGUCUGUUGUGAAAGUUUGCGGCUCAACCGUAAAAUUGCAGUUGAUACUGGCGGUCUUGAGUACGCGUGAGGUAGGCGGAAUGCGUGGUGUAGCGGUGAAAUGCUUAGAUAUGACGAAGAACUCCGAUUGCGAAGGCAGCUUACUGAA